rnacentral:rRNA from 1 species
AUACAGCGGGUGCAAGCGUUAAUCGGAUUUACUGGGCGUAAAGCGCGCGUAGGUGGCUAAUUAAGUCAAAUGUGAAAUCCCCGAGCUUAACUUGGGAAUUGCAUUCGAUACUGGUUAGCUAGAGUAUGGGAGAGGAUGGUAGAAUUCCAGGUGUAGCGGUGAAAUGCGUAGAGAUCUGGAGGAAUACCGAUGGCGAAGGCAGCCAUCUGGCCUAAUACUGACACUGAGGUGCGAAAGCAUGGGGAGCAAACAGGAUUAGAUACCCUGGUAGUCCAUGCCGUAAACGAUGUCUACUAGCCGUUGGGGCCCUUGAGGCUUUAGUGGCGCAGCUAACGCGAUAAGUAGACCGCCUGGGGAGUACGGUCGCAAGACUAAAACUCAAAUGAAUUGACGGGG